rnacentral:tRNA from 1 species
AAUGUUAAAGUGUAACUAGAGAUGAUCUUUACAAGAUUAGGCCCGAUUGUGAUAAUCUUACACUA